rnacentral:rRNA from 1 species
GAUGAACGCUGGCGGCAUGCCUAAUACAUGCAAGUCGAGCGAACAGAUAAGGAGCUUGCUCCUUUGACGUUAGCGGCGGACGGGUGAGUAACACGUGGGUAACCUACCUAUAAGACUGGAAUAACUCCGGGAAACCGGGGCUAAUGCCGGAUAACAUUUAGAACCGCAUGGUUCUAAAGUGAAAGAUGGUUUUACUAUCACUUAUAGAUGGACCCGCGCCGUAUUAGCUAGUUGGUAAGGUAACGGCUUACCAAGGCAACGAUACGUAGCCGACCUGAGAGGGUGAUCGGCCACACUGGAACUGAGACACGGUCCAGACUCCUACGGGAGGCAGCAGUAGGGAAUCUUCCGCAAUGGGCGAAAGCCUGACGGAGCAACGCCGCGUGAGUGAUGAAGGUCUUCGGAUCGUAAAACUCUGUUAUUAGGGAAGAACAAAUGUGUAAGUAACUGUGCACGUCUUGACGGUACCUAAUCAGAAAGCCACGGCUAACUACGUG